AAAAGCUGAAAAGCUACGCCAAAAGAGGACACCCCCACCCCCUCGGAUCAUCCUCUUCACACCCCCUUUUCAAGUCUUCUUCUUCAGAACUUCUUUAGAACACCCAUCAACGGGAACCUUCAGCAGCACCAAACCAACACAAGCCAUGCCACCUUCACAAAAUCAGUAGCGCCGCAUUUGAGCAAAACCAAACAACACCCCCUCCCCAACGUCUCUCCUUUUUCUUUCACACAGGCAACCGAUCUGAAUUCCUAAACUCGCCGGAAAACGGACCUGAAAAGCCAUAAAAACUGGCCAAUAAUUCCAGUUUUGGAACGCAAUCAAACAGGCUCAAAACCUGUCGAAACACCAACUCGAAAUUUCCAGCCCGUGGUCGAGUUUCUGUUGCCAUUCUCGAUUCCGUUCAAGGUCUUCGGGUCCCUGUUCCGGCUGUGGUCAUUUUCUGAUGUGGGUCUAUUUAUCGAAGUUCGAGCAUGGCAGAGCUCCAGGACCAUCUAGUCAGGAUCGCUCAUUCAGGAGUGGAUUAAAAGAAGAUUUUCUUUUCUUUUUUAUGCUUUGAGUCUGUUGUUCUUUUUUAUGUCGUCUUUUAACUUCUAGCUUUGUACAAUAAUGUCGAGUCUUUUGGUAUUGUGUUUCCCACUUUGUAUUGAAGAAAGAUGUGUAAUAAGGCAAAUAUUCAAAAAAAAAUAAAUUUGCGUUUCAUA